rnacentral:rRNA from 1 species
GUAGGGAAUAUUGGGCAAUGGAGGCAACUCUGACCCAGCCAUGCCGCGUGCAGGAUGACGGCCCUCUGGGUUGUAAACUGCUUUUAUACGGGAAGAAAAAAUACUACGUGUAGUAUACUGACGGUACCGUAAGAAUAAGGAUCGGCUAACUCCGUGCCAGCAGCCGCGGUAAUACGGAGGAUCCAAGCGUUGUCCGGAUUUAUUGGGUUUAAAGGGUGCGUAGGCGGAUCUUUAAGUCAGUGGUGAAAGCCUGCAGCUUAACUGUAGAAUUGCCAUUGAAACUGAAGAUCUUGAAUGUGGUUAAAGUAGGCGGAAUGUAUCAUGUAGCGGUGAAAUGCUUAGAUAUGAUACAGAACACCGAUAGCGAAGGCAGCUUGCUGAACCAUUAUUGACGCUGAGGCACGAAAGCGUGGGGAGCGAACAGGAUUAGAACCCCGGUAGUCC